rnacentral:rRNA from 1 species
GUCUUUUUGUUAAAAAUUUAAAGUCGGGCCUGCCCACUGAAAAUUUAAAUGGCCGUGGUAUUUUGACCGUGCUAAGGUAGCAUAAUCAUUAGUUUUUUAAUUGAAAGCUGGAAUGAAAGGUUUGAUAAAAAAAUAACUGUCUCUAUUUAAUUUUAUUAAAAAUUUAUUUUUAAGUUCAAAAGCUUAAUUUUUAUUAAAAGACGAGAAGACCCUAUAGAGUUUAAUAAUUUAAUAUAACUUGUAUUUUAGAAUUAAUUUAUUUAUUUUUUAGAAUUAUUUAAUUGGGGUGAUUGAAAAAUUUAAUUAACUUUUUUUAUAUUUUACCAUUAAUUUAUGAUAAUUUGAUCCAAUUUUUUUGAUUAUAAGAUAAAAUUACCUUAGGGAUAACAGCGUAAUUUUUUUAGAAAGUUCAAAUUAAAAGAAAAGAUUGCGACCUCGAUGUUGGAUUAAAAUUAAAUUUUGGUGUAGAAGCUAAAAAUUUUAAGUCUGUUCGACUUU